rnacentral:misc_RNA from 1 species
UUUCCGUAGGUGAACCUGUGGAGGGAUCAUUCACAAUAAGUGAAUUAUGGUACUUUUUUGACAAUCCAUAUUCACCUUGUGUGCAACGUUAUGAGACCCUCUAUCAUUAUCCUUUAGGUUACGGAAGAGGGAACCCCUACAACUUACCACCAUCCACUCUAACUUCUUUGUAUGAACAUUUGUUAUCACGUAUUAACUUAAUUUGAAAAUACAACUUUCAACAACGGAUCUCUUGGCUCUC